GCCGUGCCCAGCGGCACGGUAGAGGAGCCGGUUCCACCCCAACCCGCUUCUUCCCCCGCCGCCCCACCCCCAUCCUGCUUCUUCCCCGCCGGCGCCGCCCCACUCCCAACUUUCUUCUUCUGCCGCCGGCACCGGCCCACCCCCCAUCCCGCUUCUUCCCCGCCGGCGCCGCCCCACUCCCAACUUGCUUCUUCUGCCGCCGGCACCGGCCCACCCCCAUCCCGCUUCUUCCCCCGCCGGUGCCGCCGCCGCCCGGCCACGGCCUUCCCGCGCUGAGCUUCUCUUCCUCCCCUUGUUCAUGGCGCCAUCACGCCCCGUCACGGUGCAUUUGACCCUCUGCCUUCCCCUCCCCAACCCGAUUUGCAUCCACAGCGGUUCAGAUCCGCCUUCCCACCGCGCCUCCGCGCCGGAACCUUUGUCCUGCAGCCGGCGGAGGCCUCACCGCCGGAAACGCCCCCGGUGGUUGGUCGCAGCGCGCCAACACCAACCUUAGCUGCCAGGGUCCCCCGUCCCCUUCCAUGGCGACCUCUGCCUCGCGUGGGACUUGGACCACCCCACCACCAGAUCCGUCCAGGGGAGGGGGAGGUAUAGGGGCUCCGGGCAGGGGCGCUCCGGGCUGCCACCACCUCCGUGCAGGGGCAGAUCCCGCGGGUGCUCUUCCCCCUAUCUUCACCGUCGUGGCGCUCGAGCGCAGUAGAGACAGUGGUGGCGACCUUCUGCCUGCUGCCCUCUUGCUUGGGAUUCCAUGGUGAUGAAGAUGUGCAGUGCUGCCGGAUCCCACGAGCAGUGCGCCCCGCGCCCUCGUGUGGUUCAUCCACUGCCACCGGGGAUUCCCUCCCUUCCCUAACCUCUCUACACAACAGACGAGCUGCUCUUUUGUCGCUCAUGGGCGCGCGCCUGACGGGGCUGCUACUGGUCCGACCUACCACCACCUCUCAUCCCGACGACAACUACCUAUGUUUCGAGACGCCUCGCCUUGAGCUCAGUCUGGGUGUCUGUGGUGCGGUCCAGCCACAGUGGACAUGCAGUUCCGUGCUCGUGUAGGUGCAGGUCGUGGGCGCACCAGCGACGACGACAGCAACGCCUUGAUCUCCGGCGUAGUUUGUGGACUGCAGGUUCAAUGCAAUGUUGCUGAGUUCAAUGCAAUGUCAGGGUGUGGAGUGCAAGUUCUUUGAGUGGCAUGAUGAUCCAAAUACUUCAUUUCUGAAUUCGCUGCUCGGUAACUUGCGUGAUACCGUGUAUUGUCUGAAAACAGAGAAGAAACAGUUGGAGGAAUCUCGAAUCCAAGUUGAAGCUCGCAUGAACAAGGCUAUAGAUGUGGAGAUGGGCACGCGACAGAAGUAGAAGAAAUUCAUAUGAAAUUGGAAAGAUUUAGAGAGAUGUGUCAGCCUAUUGAGAAUGAUGUGCCAGUAUGUCCAGACAUAUUUGUAUGUUCAGAAAAUUGAAUAAUUUAGAAAUGUUUGUGGAGUUCAAAAACUUCUAUGUUACUGCUUGUUUGUAAGCAACUCAUUUUGUCCAAUACUAGGUGUUUUUAAGUAAUUUCAUUUCGUUCA